rnacentral:rRNA from 1 species
UAACGGGGCUAAACCAUGCACCGAAGCUGCGGCAGCGACGCUGAUGCGUUGUUGGGUAGGGGAGCGUUCUGUAAGCCUGCGAAGGUGGCCUGUGAGGGUUGCUGGAGGUAUCAGAAGUGCGAAUGCUGACAUAAGUAACGAUAAAGCGGGUGAAAAGCCCGCUCGCCGGAAGACCAAGGGUUCCUGUCCAACGUUAAUCGGGGCAGGGUGAGUCGACCCCUAAGGCGAGGCCGAAAGGCGUAGUCGAUGGGAAACGGGUUAAUAUUCCCGUACUUGGUGUUACUGCGAAGGGGGGACGGAGAAGGCUAUGUUGGCCGGGCGACGGUUGUCCCGGUUUAAGCGUGUAGGUGUGUGUUCCAGGUAAAUCCGGUUCACUUUAACACUGAGGCGUGACGACGAGGCACUACGGUGCUGAAGCAACAAAUGCCCUGCUUCCAGGAAAAGCCUCUAAGCAUCAGGUAACACGAAAUCGUACCCCAAACCGACACAGGUGGUCAGGUAGAGAAUACCAAGGCGCUUGAGAGAACUCGGGUGAAGGAACUAGGCAAAAUGGUGCCGUAACUUCGGGAGAAGGCACGCUGACACGUAGGUGAAGUGAUUUACUCAUGGAGCUGAAGUCAGUCGAAGAUACCAGCUGGCUGCAACUGUUUAUUAAAAACACAGCACUGUGCAAACACGAAAGUGGACGUAUACGGUGUGACGCCUGCCCGGUGCCGGAAGGUUAAUUGAUGGGGUCAGCGCAAGCGAAGCUCCUGAUCGAAGCCCCGGUAAACGGCGGCCGUAACUAUAACGGUCCUAAGGUAGCGAAAUUCCUUGUCGGGUAAGUUCCGACCUGCACGAAUGGCGUAAUGAUGGCCAGGCUGUCUCCACCCGAGACUCAGUGAAAUUGAACUCGCUGUGAAGAUGCAGUGUACCCGCGGCAAGACGGAAAGACCCCGUGAACCUUUACUAUAGCUUGACACUGAACAUUGAGCCUUGAUGUGUAGGAUAGGUGGGAGGCUUUGAAGCGUGGACGCCAGUCUGCGUGGAGCCGACCUUGAAAUACCACCCUUUAAUGUUUGAUGUUCUAACGUGGACCCGUGAUCCGGGUUGCGGACAGUGUCUGGUGGGUAGUUUGACUGGGGCGGUCUCCUCCUAAAGAGUAACGGAGGAGCACGAAGGUUGGCUAAUCCUGGUCGGACAUCAGGAGGUUAGUGCAAUGGCAUAAGCCAGCUUGACUGCGAGCGUGACGGCGCGAGCAGGUGCGAAAGCAGGUCAUAGUGAUCCGGUGGUUCUGAAUGGAAGGGCCAUCGCUCAACGGAUAAAAGGUACUCCGGGGAUAACAGGCUGAUACCGCCCAAGAGUUCAUAUCGACGGCGGUGUUUGGCACCUCGAUGUCGGCUCAUCACAUCCUGGGGCUGAAGUAGGUCCCAAGGGUAUGGCUGUUCGCCAUUUAAAGUGGUACGCGAGCUGGGUUUAGAACGUCGUGAGACAGUUCGGUCCCUAUCUGCCGUGGGCGCUGGAGAACUGAGGGGGGCUGCUCCUAGUACGAGAGGACCGGAGUGGACGCAUCACUGGUGUUCGGGUUGUCAUGCCAAUGGCACUGCCCGGUAGCUAAAUGCGGAAGAGAUAAGUGCUGAAAGCAUCUAAGCACGAAACUUGCCCCGAG